rnacentral:lncRNA from 1 species
AAAAACACUUAACUAAUCCCAAAAACCAAGAAACAAACCAUGUAAAAUAUCUUAUAUUCUCACAUGUACACGCAAUUUAUCUGAAUGGCAGAUUUCUAACCCGACGUACCAUCCGACCACGUCUAUGAGCGGAAACUUAUUUCAAUUAAUUCUAUUUCUGUUAUAUCAUUACUUUGGUUAACAAAAUUGUCUGUGAAAAUUUUAUUUUUAUUUAUUAACAACAAAUAUUUUAAUAUUUAAAAAAUUAAAAACAUUAAGUUAACAUUAUAAUAUUAUUUUUGUCGGCAUUAUAAUAAAAUUUAAAAAAAGAAACAAAAUUAGAAAAUGAGCAAUGUCCAAUAUUACAACAAAAAAAAACGUUGAGUAUUGUCAGUAGUCAAAAAAAUUAAAAAAGUUCCAAAACAAUAAACGAAGCUCAAUGGAAAGAUUCCGUGCUUGGUUCACACUAGACCCACAGAGACACAAGAAACGAUACGAUUUGUUGGUGAAACAAACUUAAAGUUGAUACAUGAAAUUAACUUAAAGAUUGAGUGCGUAUCAAGCUUCUCU